GGCGGCGUGCCUAAUACAUGCAAGUCGAGCGAACAGACGAGGAGCUUGCUCCUCUGACGUUAGCGGCGGACGGGUGAGUAACACGUGGAUAACCUACCUAUAAGACUGGGAUAACUUCGGGAAACCGGAGCUAAUACCGGAUAAUAUAUUGAACCGCAUGGUUCAAUAGUGAAAGACGGUUUUGCUGUCACUUAUAGAUGGAUCCGCGCCGCAUUAGCUAGUUGGUAAGGUAACGGCUUACCAAGGCAACGAUGCGUAGCCGACCUGAGAGGGUGAUCGGCCACACUGGAACUGAGACACGGUCCAGACUCCUACGGGAGGCAGCAGUAGGGAAUCUUCCGCAAUGGGCGAAAGCCUGACGGAGCAACGCCGCGUGAGUGAUGAAGGUCUUCGGAUCGUAAAACUCUGUUAUUAGGGAAGAACAAAUGUGUAAGUAACUAUGCACGUCUUGACGGUACCUAAUCAGAAAGCCACGGCUAACUACGUGCCAGCAGCCGCGGUAAUACGUAUGUGGCAAGCGUUAUCCGGAAUUAUUGGGCGUAAAGCGCGCGUAGGCGGCUUUUUAAGUCUGAUGUGAAAGCCCACG
rnacentral:rRNA from 1 species